GUUGGUAAGGGAAGUACUGCUGAAACAUUGCCCAGACGAACAUCAGACUGGCGAUUAUCGAUCCCAGCUGAGCAAAAGCAUCCCCUGCCUUCAUCCUGGUAAACCCUCUCCCACUUCCUAUGCUCUCCUCCAGUCCGUGCUUCAAACUUGCUGAAUUAAUCAUCGGUUUGUGGUGUAUUUGUUUUGUGGGUUAUCUAUUGACAAGUUGUUGAAUUUAUAAAGACAGUCGAAUACUUUUUGGUUAGACCGAAUACGUGGCUUCUGACUCCGAGGCCAAUAAUACGUGUACGGUGUUUGACAAGUAUAAAAGUACAAGUAAGCCCUAUGUCGGCUAUUGCUUUUACUUUCAUAGCCCUCAUAAGUUAGAACAAGUCGAUUUUCUCCUUUUCUCUUUACCGUAAGGACGAAGAAUCCCUCUUUUAACAUCAGGACAAAUAGAAUGGUCUUUGUUUAAUAGUAUUUGAUUUAUCUACCUAAUAUUCAAAUCAGAUUUCUUUCAUUCUUAUCUAGCUGAUUGAGGAAAUGACGCUGAAAUUUUGGUACCUAGGACAUGCGCCAGCGGCAUUAAGAAUACUUGUUUUAUUUGGGUGGGUGAGAUGUCUAAGAAUCAGACAAUUAUUUGUCUGUGGAGGACAAGCUGUCUUCUGUGAGUAGCAUGGACCCUUUUAGUCUUUUAAUAAUCGAUGAUAAAAACCUUUAUAGUAACCCUUUUUGGCCAUUGAUUGGAUUGAUCACAAUACGUUUUCCCCCUUGUCUGUAAUUAACUAUGGGCUGAUAUGGCUGCUGGUUGUUGCAAAGGAUCAACAUCACUUGCCAGCAGUUGGCCACUCCUUGGAAUGAAGUCAUGCAUUUAGGAUUGAAGGAACUUUCAUUUAAGCAACUGAAUAAAUAAGAUAUUUAAGCAACUAAUUAGUCUCUUCUUCAGGAGCUUUCUGCCUUUAAGGGUGAUUACAGGCAUAAUCAAAAGGAUAGCACAACCGAAUGUUAAGCAAACUAAAUUAGAUAAGGUGAUAAGUUUAGCUAAUGAGCAGAAGUUAGUAACCAAGAUACUAGUAGUCUCCCAAAACAUAAGCAAUAACAGAUAACUAAACAAAAUCAUAAACGAGCUCAGGUUCUUAGCAUCAGAGCUGAAAUUCAUCCGACAUCACAUUCAUCUUCUUCUUGUUCUUCGUUGUCAUUGUCAUCUUCCUCUUCCUUGACCCUGCCUCCCUCCUUUGCUGUCUCCAGAUCCUGAAUCAACCGAUUCAAGCAAGUCGCAGCAUCUUCGUCGAUGGAUUUUUGCAUCAAGCUCUCAGCUACAUCAGCAGGGCUAAUCUUGAUCUUCUCCAACAGGCUUCGAAUGACUUCAAACAGCGGGUGUGAAUCGAUGCUGAGGUAGUUCCUGGCAAGCACCUUGAACCCUUCGAACUGACAGUAAGACAUUUCAAUAUGCUUGUCCAUCCUUCCUCUCCUGAUUAAUGCCUCAUCCAGCUUCUCAACGUGGUUGGUUGUAAAUAUUAUGAUUCUUUCCCCUCCACUUGCUAACCAAAUCCCAUCAAUUAUGUUCAGUAGCCCAGACAGAGUGACCUUGCUGCUGCUUUCAUCUUCACCUUCCGGCUCUGUCUCGUCAUCAUCAUCAUCAUUGUCGCUGUCUUCAUCUUCCGACUCCUCUUUACUGUCCUUGUUUUUCCUCUUCUUGCUUUUGCUCUUCUUCUUCUUCUUCUUUUUCGUCUUCGCCUUUGUCUUCUUCUUCCUUUGAUCUGUAAUAUCAAGGGAACAAUCGAUAUCCUCUAUAACAACAAUUGCCUUACUGCAUAUCUCAAUGAGCAGCUUUCUCAACUCUGUAUUAUCCUUCACAGCAGUCAACUCCAGAUCAUAGAUGUCGUAAUUCAGAAAGUUGGCUACAGCAGCAAUCAUGGUGGUUUUACCAGUCCCAGGCGGACCAUAAAGAAGGUACCCGCGCUUCCAAGCCUUUCCAAUCCUUGCAUAAUACUCCUCCGACUUUGUAAAAGCAACCAAAUCAUCCAUAAUCUCCUUCUUCCUCCCCGGAUCAAUCGCCAGAGUCUCGAACGACGCGGGAUGGUUGAACGGAAUGUGGCUCCACGACGCUGUUUCGUUGCCGCCAUGAGUCUUUUUCGAGCCGUUUGCAUGAAGAUUCCUCUGUCUGUUACGAAGCUCGAUGGCAUUUCCUUCUUCUAUCACAUGCUUUAUGUAAUCCCCAGUGACGAACUCUCUAUGCUUCCUGUUGAACGUAAGCUUGUAGAAUCUCUUCUUGUCAUUGAAAUAGGAUUUGGCGACGGUGCUUUCUUUGGACCAGAGUAGGUUGAGACCUUGGUAAUCAUCGGUGACCUCCUGGUGAUCCUCCAUGCUGAGAAGGAGCUUGUGGUUGCCUCUGUAAGAGUCGGCUUUGAGGCUCCUGGCUUGCUGGAUGGAUUUUGAACGCAGGUAGUUCUCAAUGGCUGUGUAGGCGGUGUUGCGCCUGUAAUGGUGGUCGUCGGAGUAUUCGUGGAAGGUGACCUCGAUGUAAGGGUAGAGGAAGGACAUGAAUUUGUGGAGGAACUUUCCGAUGAGGUUCUGAUAGUCUCGAGGGAGGUUUCUGUGGAACAUUGUGCUGAGGAAGAACAGGGUUGGAAGAUAGGAGCUGAGUUGGCCGAGCAUAUUUCCUAAAUUUUGAUUCUUUGAUUUCCUCAGUGAUGAAACACGACUGAACUCUUUCCCUUCUUAUUAUGCAUCAUGACCUUCGUUAAUAAGUUUCAGUUUUUGAAUGAAUUGUGUGGAGGUCAGAGGUCAAGAAUGUGGAAUUUGUGUGCCUGUGUUGUUGUCAGUGAUCGAAGGCAUUUGAAUGCAUCACAAGAUUUGUGCAUGUCUCUGACAACAGGUCGACCAAUGACGAGAAGUUGGAACUGGAGAACUCUUGCAAAAGUGAUGAGUUUCUGGGCAAUGCGGGAGUUCCAGCAAUUAGUAAUGGGCGAUUAUUUUACAAUGUAAGUACAUUAUGAUAUGAUAAUUUUAAUUAUGAAAUGUAUAGAAAUAUUAUUUGGAAUUGUCAACACUUACCAGUAAAUUUUGAGAUUUCAUUUGGAGGUAGAGGUAUUAUACAUGAAAACUUGGGAUAAUUUUAUUAUUAUUCUGUACUCUAAGUCUUAAGGUGAAAUUAAUUCAAACAACAUUCAAACUUUAAGGCUGAAAAUUAGUAAAUAUCCGUAAAUUGUAACCUGAAUUCCUGAUGAAUAUUUUAAUUUUAAAUUAUAAAUAAUCCAUAUUAUUUUUAUUCAUAAUCAUUUAAUUUAAAUUCGAUACAUCAAAAUCACCAACAAAUAAAUCUGUUAAUAAAGUAACUCAAAAACUUUAAAAAAAAUUACUUUGUCCAUCAAAAAUUUAAAACGUUACCAAUUGUCACUAGGAUUGUUGGUGAAGAGCUUCCUCUGCCUAUUCCUGACAGCAAUGUUCUUCCCUUCCGCCAAAACCUUGUGAAUAUACAACUUGGUAACAACCUCCCUAUACCUUUUAUGAAACGUCAGCGUGUAAAACCUCCUCUCUUCAGCUUUCGGGUAGAAAGAAAUCCGUCGACGACUUGUUCGUGGUCCUCCAUGGUGAGGACCAGCGACUUGCUGUCCUUGACGACAUCGGCCUUGAGCCUCUUGGCGGUGGCGAUGGUGUGGGUGCUGAGGUAGUUCUGAAUGGCGAAGAAGGCGUCGCUGCUCUUAAGCUUAUCUCCUGUGAGCUCGCGGAAGGUGAUUUGGAUGUACGGGUAGAAUAGUCCGAUCAGCUUGCUUGUGUAUCUGUGUAAGUAGCCGCGGAGCUCGUAAGGGAAGUACUGCUGGAACAUUGCGUAGAAGAACAUUAGAGCGGCUGCUGCUGAUCCUAUCCUGCCCCAUAUUGUUGUGUUUUCUGUGUUCAUCUUUGCCUUUGGUUGUUGUUGUGUGUGCUCUGAGGUUUAAGUUCAGGGUUUAUAUAUAGCGGUGAGGUCAUUACAGAGAGGUGAGGACGACAAUGCUAUAAGAAGUAUAUCUUUCCCUUUCUAGUUACAACUUGCUCAGGAAGUAAUAGUCUAGAAUAAGUAGUACACGGACUCAACCCCUAUAUAUGCAAAAGUGAAUUCUUUAGUUUCACCGGAGUUUGGUAAUUGACCAAGGGAGUUUCGAAUUCAUAAGAUUAAAACUGGACCUUGUAUAUGAUAGAAGAUAACCCUACACUAAACAAUCUGAUCUGCAAAGAUUGCCAAGAGAGACACCAUUUUUGCAGGUUGGCGUGUAUUGAGAAACAAAACUCUGGACGUAGCAAUUAUGGUGUUUUGGGACAUUCUUGCAGUUUUGGUAUGGAAAGGUUCAUUGACAAAAUUAGCUUGAGAGAGUGACGUGCAUUGCAUGGAAUGGAAUUGAACGUACGUCAUAGGAAUAUGGUUUGCAGACUUUGGCGCAGUAUGUUUGGUUGGUGGCAACCAAUCAAUGCAUUUGUACAGUAGGUUGUAUGACAGUAGGGGAGACCAGUAAAUGUAAUGAUGAGAAGUUGGAAUUGUACAACUCUUGCACAUGUGAUAAGUUUCUAUGCAACAUUAUGUGGGGAGUUCCAGCGAUCAAUCUAAUGGGCGAGUAUUUUC
rnacentral:lncRNA from 1 species